rnacentral:rRNA from 1 species
AACGAACGCUGGCAGCGUGGAUUAGGCAUGCAAGUCGGACGGGAUCGGCCGGAUAGCAAUAUUCGGCCGUGAGAGUGGCGGAUUGGGGAGGAGCACGUGAGCAACCUGCCCUGGAGAUGUGGAAAACCUCUGGAAACGGAGGCUAAUACAGAAUGUGGCGCCCGACGGCAUCGUCGGAGCGCCGAAGGGGGCCGCAAGGCUCCCGCUCCGGGAUGGGCUCGCGCACCAUCAGCUAGUUGGCGGGGUAACGGCCCACCAAGGCCUACGGUUAGCUGGUCUGAGAGGAUGACCAGCCCCACUGGGACUGAGAUACUGCCCAGACUCCUACGGGAGGCUGCAGUCGAGGAUCAUUCGCAAUGGGCGAAAGCCUGACGAUGCGACGCUGCGUUGGAGGACGAAGGCCUUCGGGUCGUAAACUCCUGUCAUGGGGGAAGAGGCGAGGGAAGCGAACACCUUCCUUAGUUGACUGUACCCCAAGAGGAAGCGACGGCUAACUCUGUGCCAGCAGCCGC